GACAUGGUAAGGAUUGACGGACUGAAGGCUCUUUCUCGAUUCCGUGGAAAGUGGUGCAUGGCCGUUUUUGGUUGGUGGAUCGAUCCGUCUGGUUAAUUCCGUUAACGAACGAGACCUCGGCACUCCGAAUAGCGCGGCGGACGUCGCGGCCUCCGGGCCGUCUUCCGCACGAGCUUCUUAGAGGGACCGUCCCCCGCCGGGGAAGGAGGUGCGAGGCAACGACAGGUCUGUGAUGCCCUUAGAUGUUCUGGGCCGCACGCGCAUUACACUGACGCGUCCAACGGGUGACUCCCGACCCGAAGGGGCCGGGGAAUCCGCAAGGCGCGUCGUGAUGGGGAUUGAACGUUGCAAUUGUUGUUCACGAACGAGGAAUUCCUAGUAGGCGCGGGUCAUCAACCCGCGCCGAUUACGUCCCUGCCCUUUGUACACACCG
rnacentral:rRNA from 1 species